UACAGAGGUCCCAAGCGUUGUUCGGAUUUACUGGGCGUAAAGGGUGCGUAGGCGGCGCGGUAAGUCGGGUGUGAAAUCUCGGAGCUUAACUCCGAAACUGCAUUCGAUACUGGCGUGCUUGAGGACUGGAGAGGAGACUGGAAUUCAUGGUGUAGCAGUGAAAUGCGUAGAGAUCAUGAGGAAGACCAGUGGCGAAGGCGGGUCUCUGGACAGUUCCUGACACUGAGACACGAAGGCCCAGGGGAGCAAAACGGG
rnacentral:rRNA from 1 species